rnacentral:rRNA from 1 species
CCUACGGGAGGCAGCAGUGAGGAAUAUUGGUCAAUGGCCGGAAGGCUGAACCAGCCAUGCCGCGUGAAGGUCAGUGCCCUAUGGGCGUUAAACUUCUUUUGUGCGGGAGCAAUAAUGGUCACGUGUGGCCAGACGAGAGUACCGUACGAAUAAGCAUCGGCUAACUCCGUGCCAGCAGCCGCGGUAAUACGGGGGAUGCAAGCGUUAUCCGGAUUUAUUGGGUUUAAAGGGUGCGUAGGCUGUGAGGUAAGUCAGCGGUGAAAUGCCCCCGCUCAACGGGGUGAAGUGCCAUUGAUACUGCCUGGCUGGAAUGUGGAUGCCGUGGGAGGAAUGUGUGGUGUAGCGGUGAAAUGCAUAGAUAUCACACAGAACACCGAUUGCGAAGGCAUCUCACGAAGCCGCGAUUGACGCUGAUGCACGAAAGCGUGGGUAUCAAACAGGAUUAGAUACCCCAGUAGUC